rnacentral:rRNA from 1 species
UACGAAGGGGGCUAGCGUUGCUCGGAAUUACUGGGCGUAAAGGGCGCGUAGGCGGACAUUUAAGUCGGGGGUGAAAGCCCGGGGCUCAACCCCGGAAUUGCCUUUAAGACUGCAUCGCUUGAAUCCGGGAGAGGUGAGUGGAAUUCCGGAGUGUAGAGGUGAAAGUUCGUAGAUAUUCGGAAGGACACCAGUGGCGAGGGCGGCUCACUGGACCGGGUAUUGACGCUGAGGUGCGAAGCGUGGGGAGCAAACAGG